AGCGAACGCUGGCGGCAGGCCUAACACAUGCAAGUCGAACGAACUCUUCGGAGUUAGUGGCGGACGGGUGAGUAACACGUGGGAACGUGCCUUUUGGUUCGGAAUAACUCAGUGAAACUUGUGCUAAUACCGAAUGUGCCCUUCGGGGGAAAGAUUUAUCGCCAUUAGAGCGGCCCGCGUCUGAUUAGCUAGUUGGUGAGGUAACGGCUCACCAAGGCGACGAUCAGUAGCUGGUCUGAGAGGAUGACCAGCCACACUGGGACUGCGACACGGACCAGAAUCCUACGGGAGGGAGCAGUGGGGAAUCUUGCGGAAUGGGGGAAAGCCUGACGAAGCCAUGCCGCGUGAAUGAUGAAGGUGUUAGGAUUGUAAAAUUGUUUGACAGGGGACGAUAAUGACGGUACCCGGAGAAGAAGCCCCGGCUAACUUCGUG
rnacentral:rRNA from 1 species